rnacentral:rRNA from 1 species
AGUAAGGCUGAGUAUUAGGCAAAUCCGGUACUCGUUAAGGCUGAGCUGUGAUGGGGAGAAGACAUUGUGUCUUCGAGUCGUUGAUUUCACACUGCCGAGAAAAGCCUCUAGAUAGAAAAUAGGUGCCCGUACCGCAAACCGACACAGGUAGUCAAGAUGAGAAUUCUAAGGUGAGCGAGCGAACUCUCGUUAAGGAACUCGGCAAAAUGACCCCGUAACUUCGGGAGAAGGGGUGCUCUUUAGGGUUAACGCCCAGAAGAGCCGCAGUGAAUAGGCCCAAGCGACUGUUUAUCAAAAACACAGGUCUCUGCUAAACCGUAAGGUGAUGUAUAGGGGCUGACGCCUGCCCGGUGCUGGAAGGUUAAGAGGAGUGGUUAGCUUCUGCGAAGCUACGAAUCGAAGCCCCAGUAAACGGCGGCCGUAACUAUAACGGUCCUAAGGUAGCGAAAUUCCUUGUCGGGUAAGUUCCGACCCGCACGAAAGGCGUAACGAUUUGGGCACUGUCUCAACGAGAGACUCGGUGAAAUCAUAGUACCUGUGAAGAUGCAGGUUACCCGCGACAGGACGGAAAGACCCCGUGGAGCUUUACUGUAGCCUGAUAUUGAAAUUCGGCACAGCUUGUACAGGAUAGGUAGGAGCCUUUGAAACGUGAGCGCUAGCUUACGUGGAGGCGCUGGUGGGAUACUACCCUAGCUGUGUUGGCUUUCUAAC